rnacentral:rRNA from 1 species
GCAUAUCAAUAAGCGGAGGAAAAGAAACCACAGGGAUGCUCUAGUAACGGCGAGUGAAGCAGCAAUAGCUCAAUUUGAAAUCUGGCGUCUUCGACGUCCGAGUUGUAAUUUGUAGAGGAUGCUUCUGAGUGGCCACCGACCUAAGUUCCUUGGAACAGGACGUCAUAGAGGGUGAGAAUCCCGUAUGCGGUCGGAAAGGCGCUCUAUACGUAGCUCCUUCGACGAGUCGAGUUGUUUGGGAAUGCAGCUCUAAAUGGGAGGUAAAUUUCUUCUAAAGCUAAAUAUUGGCCAGAGACCGAUAGCGCACAAGUAGAGUGAUCGAAAGAUGAAAAGCACUUUGGAAAGAGAGUUAAAAAGCACGUGAAAUUGUUAAAAGGGAAGGGAUUGCAACCAGACUUGCUCGCGGUGUUCCGCCGGUCUUCUGACCGGUCUACUCGCCGCGUUGCAGGCCAGCAUCGUCUGGUGCCGCUGGAUAAGACUUGAGGAAUGUAGCUCCUCGGGAGUGUUAUAGCCUCUUGUGAUGCAGCGAGCGCCGGGCGAGGUCCGCGCUUCGGCUAGGAUGCUGGCGUAAUGGUCGUAAUCCGCCCGUCUUGAAACACGGACCAAGGAGUCUAACAUCUAUGCGAGUGUUCGGGUGUCAAACCCCUACGCGUAAUGAAAGUGAA